ensembl:lncRNA
CAAGGCAGCACCGAGUCGAUGCAGCCUCUUCCCUCUUGGGGGUUAGGGUCUGUGGGCACAGACCCUGCCUUCUUUCUCCCAUUUGAGCAUCAGUGGUGGAUGGGGGCUGUUGGGACAGAACGUGGCAGUAUGCCCACGCACGCUGAGACCCGUUCCAGGAGGUGGCUUUCCAGAGCGCCCGGCGCCCCUGAAUUCCACACCACUCGAUUGUUGGAUUUUAUAUUGUUUUCAGAAAUACUGCAAGACCUUUUAUUAUUUUUAUUUGUUUAAUGGGAAGAGUUUUAAGAAUGUUACAAAAGUAACUCAGACUCUUGAACAAAACAUUACAACCAAACAUAAAGCAUGAACAGUUUAAAAGGUUCCUUAAAAUGUUAAAUAUAGAAUUACCAUUUGACCCAGAAAUUCCACUUCUGGGUAUAUACCCAGAAGAGGUAAAAGCAGGGAUGAGAGCAGAUACUUGCAGAUUUGUGUUCACAGCAGCAUUAUUCACAAAUAGCCACAAGGAAGCAACCUGAGUGUCCAUGGACAGAUGUAAGGAUAAACAGAACAUGGUGUAUAUCUACACAUACAGUGGACUAUAUUCAUCGACCAUAAAAAGGAAAUUCUGACACAGGCUACAAUAUGGAUGAACAUGCUAUAUGAAAAAAAAAAAAAAAGACACCAAACACAAUAAGACAAAUGUAAUUCCAUUUAUAUGAAAUAUCUAGAAUAGGAGAAUUAUAAGGAUAGAAAGGCCAGAUGUUAUUGGGUCCUUGGGGGAGGGGAUAUGGGACUUACUGUUUAAUGGGUGCAGAGUUUUGGUUUGGAGUAUGGAAAAUUUUUGAAAAUGGUAGUGAUGGCUGGACAUUGUCAGUGUAAUUCAUGUCACUGAACUGUACACUUAAAAAUGGUUUCAAUGGAAGUUUUAAUUAUAUAUAUGUAUUUUAUAAUUUAAAAGAUAGUUAAGAGAAAAAAGAAAACAUUGGAUUUACCUCUCUACUAUUCUACCACCCUGAAGCAGGAGCAGUCAAGUAACUUAACUGGAGUUUGGAGUCAUGUAAAUGGAAGGGCUAGGAUUUGAACUGAUUGCAAACCUCGCAAGAUUACAAUGGACUGCCUGUCUCUAAGCAGCCAGCAGCCAUGAUCAGGUGCCUUCCGCAGCCUUGCAUAUCAUCUCCCUGGGAGCACCAGUUGAUAUAAACAAUCCUCCUGAAAGUGAGAAGAGGGAGAAUGAGUCGGAGGUCAGUUUCCUUGUGGCUGAACUUCUUAUCAGCUUUUUGUGAAAGAACCUGGCCCAGCUCAUCCCAGGAAGGCAGUGAAGCCAGGGCAGCGCAAGACAUGACAGGAUGAAUUUCUGUGGCUGCCAGAGCCCAGGACGGGCAGGCAGAAUGCGCAGCAGCCCAGCAAGGCAUGCUCACCGUUAGGCGAAGGAAGGCUUAGCAAAUGGCAUGUAGUUUUCUAAAAGGCACAGAGUUUAAAAGUCCAUUCAGCCCAAAGUAUUUACACAAAUCUGAACUGUGAGCAUCAGGUAGGUGCCAGUCCUGACUCUGCUACCUGACCCUGAGCAAGUUCCCUGACAUUUUUUUUUAAGUCUCACAUUCAUCAUUUGGAGAACAGAGACUGUUAUUUCUUCUUUGCUGCAUUGCUGUGCAGAUUAAAUGAGCUGGCUUCUCUCAGAAGAAUAUCCAGAGUGCAAUUCCCCAGGUGUUCCUCUGGUUUGGGACUUGCUGGCCGCUGGAUGUGAGCAUCUAUCUCCCCUAUGGACUGGUGUUCCUUCAGCAUCCCCCCAAUAAAGCAAGUAAAUCAGCCCUGAAUAUUGAUUGGAAGAACUGAUGCUGAACCUGAAGCUCCAAUACUUUAGCCAUCUGAUGCAAAGAACUGACUCAUUGGAAAAGACCCUGAUGCUGGGCAAGAUUGAAGGCAGGAGGAGAAGGGGACGACAGAGGAUGAGAUGGUUGGAUGGCAUCACUGACUCAGUAGACAUGAGUUUGAACAAGCUCCGGGAGUUGGUGAUGCAGAAGCCUGGCAUGCUGCAGUCCAUGGGGUCACAAAAAGUUGGACACAACUGAGCAACUGAACAAUGACAACAUAAUAAAGCAAGUGCACUGAAUCCCUGCCUUAGGCUCUUGGAAGAUUUUGGGAGCAUGGCCUGUGGCUGACAGUCUGCAUAAUUCUCUAUUGAGGCUUCCCCUCAGACACUGUCAAGCCUUCACUCCAUGCUGUGCGGCCUGAUAGGGAACCUUUACUCUCAGGCCAGGAGCCUGGGCCUCUGAUAUGGGAAGGGGAAACAGAUUCCUACUGGAACAGGAAAGGCAUUUAAGUAACACUCAAACCAUAAAGCACUCAACUUUCCAUCUGGCUUCUCCGGAUCAUAUAUGUAUGUCACCUGUGACCCUCUCUGCCUUGUGGAGUUGUUGCUCUGUGCUUUUCUGCUCUGCCCUCCCACUGGGCUCUGAGUGUCCGUGGGAUGGGAAUUGCAGCUGAGUGGUUUCUGUACCCCCCAGCACUCAGCAUGGGCCUGCAUACAGUAGGUGUUCAGUAAACAUUUGAGGAAUUUGGAAUGAAAAACAUGUACAGCCAAGAUCAGCAAAGAAAGCAGACAGCAGGGACCCACCAAGACUUGGGCCUGCCAGACACCAUUUAUUGGCCUCUGUGCUUCAGAUGAAUUAAGCAGAAAGUGGGAAGGAAGCUGAAGAUAAAGAAACGACGUUCAGAAAGUUGAAGUGACAACACAGCUGCUAAGUGGUGAGGCUGGGAUUUGAACCUAAGUCUGUGUCUCCCUGACCCCUGACCUUCAACAGGGGUCAGUGAGGCUGUCUCAGUGAGAGCUAGUAGAGCCCAGAAUGUGCCUUAAAAACAAAAAAUGUAUGUAAUAGCAACUAUUCACACACUUUUGAUCACACAAAGAAUCACAAAUGUUACAAAAUAAAUUAGUGAUGUUUGGCCAUGUAUUGUGAGUCUGAAGCCCUCUGACAACAACAUAAUCUUAGAGGGACAGAGCUGCCCUGCUCUCAUUUCCUGACUUUGAUCUUGGGCUUCAGGGAGGGAAAAGCUUUCUGACUCUGGCAGACCUUCCUACAGUCUCCCAAAUACUUCCUUCAGGUAGUAGAAGGGCUGCCCAGGCCAGCUUCCCCAUCAUCUAUCUUGAACAAAAGGAGGUAAAAUUCAACCCUCUAAGUUUAGGGGAAGAAAGUCAAAGGGGAUUAGAAUUAUUGGAGGCUAGCUCUUUUGACGGGGAAGGUGAUGGCACCCCACUCCAGUACUCUUGCCUGGAAAAUCCCAUGGAUGGAGGAGCCUGGUGGGCUGUAGUCCGUGGGGUCGCGAAGAGUCGGACACGACUGAGUGACUUCCCUUUCACUUUUCACUUUCAUGCAUUGGAGAAGGAAACGGCAACCCACUCCAGUGCUCUUGCCUGGAGAAUCCCAGGGACGGGGGAGCCUGCUGGGCUGCUGUCUAUGGG